rnacentral:rRNA from 1 species
CCCUUAGAUGUUCUGGGCCGCACGCGCGCUACACUGAUGCAUUCAACGAGCCUAUCCUUGACCGACAGGUCCGGGUAAUCUUUGAAUCUGCAUCGUGACGGGGAUAGAUUAUUGCAAUUAUUAAUCUUCAACGAGGAAUGCCUAGUAGGCGCAAGUCAUCAGCUUGCGUCGAUUACGUCCCUGCCCUUUGUACACACCGCCCGUCGCUCCUACCGAUUGGGUGUGCUGGCGAAAUGUUCGGAUCGGCCGUUUGUCGCGGUUUCCGCGUCAUGUGGCUGAGAAGUUCAUUAAACCCUCCCACCUAGAGGAAGGAGAAGUCGUAACA